UCUAAAGGAUAAGUUUAAUACUCGUCAUGAGACGACAAUAAUUGGCAUGUAAUUAUGCCACAUAUAAUCUACAAAGCAGUUCAAUGCCUAUGGGCUAGUCGCACAGUUUGCCAAGAGGACGUGUCAUGUUCAUUCGUCAACAAAACAGCGCUGCCAACCUAUUGAAAUGUACUUCCAGAACAAUUUGUCUGACUGACAUUAUUACUCAUCGCUGAUAUGAAUAGCAUGGAUCGGGGUUUGCCUCAAGCCGAAAACUAACGUCACUAUCGCUAGCUUCUCCUGUUCAACGUUGCUAGUUUCUCGAGUUAGCUUUCGGCUAACGUCGCUACCUUCUACUGUUCAUUCCACAAGAUUGGCAGCUAUGCUUUGACAAAAUCAUAAUCCUAUAUCCAAAAAUCACACUUACUUUUUUGCAAGUCCUUGAUCAUAAGCAGACCGGUUGAGAAAGCAGUCAUCUUUGAAGUGGAGAUGGCAGAGAACACUCGUCGAUGAUGGCGUGAAAUUCAUUCGCUUCGUGCGAAUAAAAGAUGUCCAUUUAAGUGCCCUGCUAUCCUUCGGCCACUGGCACAACCUUUCUGUCGAUUGCGAACAACACAUC